GACGAACGCUGGCGGCGUGCUUAACACAUGCAAGUCGAACGGAAAGGCCCUGCUUUUGUGGGGUGCUCGAGUGGCGAACGGGUGAGUAACACGUGAGUAACCUGCCCUUGACUUUGGGAUAACUUCAGGAAACUGGGGCUAAUACCGGAUAGGAGCUCCUGCUGCAUGGUGGGGGUUGGAAAGUUUCGGUGGUUGGGGAUGGACUCGGGGCUUAUCAGCUUGUUGGUGGGGUAGUGGCUUACCAAGGCUUUGACGGGUAGCCGGCCUGAGAGGGUGACCGGCCACAUUGGGACUGAGAUACGGCCCAGACUCCUACGGGGGGCAGCGGUGGGGAAUAUUGCACAAUGGGCGGAAGCCUGAUGCAGCGACGCCGCGUGCGGGAUGACGGCCUUCGGGUUGUAAACCGCUUUCGCCUGUGACGAAGCGUGAGUGACGGUAAUGGGUGAAGAAGCACCGGCUAACUACGUG
rnacentral:rRNA from 1 species